rnacentral:lncRNA from 1 species
AUUUGUUUCACUUAAAGAAGUAGUAACUAAAAAUUCAAUCCAGCUGCUUCUCUAGUUUCUCUGAUAUUUGAAAACUCUGCUCAGCCUUAAGACAAGUUAUUGUAUUGUUUACUUAAAACCCUACUUCCUUAGACAGCUUUUUAAGAUAGGCAUCUAUUUUUAUAGAGGGUCCAGAAGGAAAGCAGUUACACAAUUGUACGUUAGUACACUGAGAACAAUAAAAUACAGGAUCUGCCAGCUGAAAUGGAAGUUAACAGUUUAGCCUCUGGCAAUAUUAUUUUUGAGAAUGCUUUCACUUUCUUAAGUUUAGGUAAAGCUAGUGGUUGAUUUGAACUAAAUAGAAUUCACUCAGUACUUUAGAACGCGUGCUACAGUGAAGAAUGGCUUCAGGAAACAAACUUUGAGAAUCAGAAUUGGAGAAUCAUAUUAUCCACGUCAACUCAGCAGUGAAAUGAUUAGUAAUUGAUUGCGUGUUCUGCACAUUGUCCCUGCAAAGGACACACUAACUUUAAACUGAGAAAAAAUCAAACGUUUGCAAGUAUCAGAUAGGAAAAGAAAACGUCAAAAGGCAAAUGUUCCGUGUCAUGGUGUGGGAGCUCAAAUCUCCUGUGCUGGCCACGUGCUGUCAGAGUACUGCAUACCCACCCCACAGGAGAGAUAACCGCCUUAUUCAAGAAAUUGACUGUGGAGGAAAUAGAAUUGCCUUUCAAGAUUCCUUGCAGCUGUGAUCCAAGGCAGAAAAAAAGAUAUCCCACAGCAGGAAUUCACCCAGCAACCACUGCACCUCAGCAAUGUAGGCGUACAGGAAAGGGACCUGUGCCGUGUUCAUCUCCCUCUUUAAAAUCAGCACAAAAGACAACGAUAUCAAGGGUAAAUGGUCCUAUGAAAAGAUUGUAGAAUUUUCCUCUAGAGGUUUUACUCAUAGAAGUAUUAAAGAUUUAUACUAUAUUCCUCCAGAGCUUACUAUAUGACUAGAAAUAAACAUUUCUGCAAGUCCGAGCUUGGGUAGAAU